rnacentral:rRNA from 1 species
GAUGAACGCUGGCGGCGUGCCUAAUACAUGCAAGUCGAGCGAACAGAUAAGGAGCUUGCUCCUUUGACGGUAGCGGCGGACGGGUGAGUAACACGUGGGUAACCUACCUAUAAGACUGGAAUAACUCCGGGAAACCGGGGCUAAUGCCGGAUAACAUUUAGAACCGCAUGGUUCUAAAGUGAAAGAUGGUUUUGCUAUCACUUAUAGAUGGACCCGCGCCGUAUUAGCUAGUUGGUAAGGUAACGGCUUACCAAGGCAACGAUACGAAGCGGACCUGAGAGGGUGGUCGGCCACACUGGAACUGAGACACGGCCCAGACUGCUGCGGGAGGCAGCAGUAGGGAAUCUUACGCAAUGGGCGAAAGCCUGACCGAGCGACGCCGCGUGAGUGAUGAAGGUCUUCGGAUGGUAAAACUCUGUUAUUAGGGAAGAACAAAUGUGUAAGUAACUGUGCACGUAUUGACGGUACCUAAUCAGAAAGCCACGGCUAACUACGUG